CCUACGGGCGGCUGCAGUGGGGAAUAUUGGACAAUGGGCGAAAGCCUGAUCCAGCCAUGUCGCGUGUGUGAAGAAGGCCUUCGGGUUGUAAAGCACUUUCAGUGGGGAAGAAAGCCUUGGGGCUAAUACCCUCGAGGAAGGACAUCACCCACAGAAGAAGCACCGGCUAACUCCGUGCCAGCAGCCGCGGUAAUACGGAGGGUGCGAGCGUUAAUCGGAAUUACUGGGCGUAAAGCGCGCGUAGGCGGUCUGAUAAGCCGGUUGUGAAAGCCCCGGGCUCAACCUGGGAACGGCAUCCGGAACUGUCAGGCUAGAGUGCAGGAGAGGAAGGUAGAAUUCCCGGUGUAGCGGUGAAAUGCGUAGAGAUCGGGAGGAAUACCAGUGGCGAAGGCGGCCUUCUGGACUGACACUGACGCUGAGGUGCGAAAGCGUGGGUAGCAAACAGGAUUAGAUACCCGAGUAGUC
rnacentral:rRNA from 1 species